GGGUUGUGAGGUUAAGCGACUAAGCGUACACGGUGGAUGCCCUGGCAGUCAGAGGCGAUGAAGGACGUGCUAAUCUGCGAUAAGCGCCGGUAAGGUGAUAUGAACCGUUAUAACCGGCGAUUUCCGAAUGGGGAAACCCAGUGUGAUUCGUCACACCAUCAUUAACUGAAUCCAUAGGUUAAUGAGGCGAACCGGGGGAACUGAAACAUCUAAGUACCCCGAGGAAAAGAAAUCAACCGAGAUUCCCCCAGUAGCGGCGAGCGAACGGGGAGGAGCCCAGAGCCUGAAUCAGCAUGUGUGUUAGUGGAAGCGUCUGGAAAGGCGCGCGAUACAGGGUGACAGCCCCGUACACAAAAGCGCAUGUGCUGUGAGCUCGAUGAGUAGGGCGGGACACGUGGUAUCCUGUCUGAAUAUGGGGGGACCAUCCUCCAAGGCUAAAUACUCCUGACUGACCGAUAGUGAACCAGUACCGUGAGGGAAAGGCGAAAAGAACCCCGGCGAGGGGAGUGAAAAAGAACCUGAAACCGUGUACGUACAAGCAGUGGGAGCCCCACCACUAAGCCAG
rnacentral:rRNA from 1 species